rnacentral:tRNA from 1 species
GUCGGGGUGGCUCAGCCUGGUAGAGCGCCUGACUCAUAAUCAGGAGGUCGCGGGUUCAAACCCCGCCCCCGACA